UGAACGAAGCAGUGGGCAGCAGGGCGGGGCUUCCUCUUAGCUGGGAACAGGGGAAAUCGGUUUGUCACCUGCGGGAGUGAGCCAGGGACCGUCUGUGAACAUGUGACGUGUUUGGGAACACACAAAGCUCCAGCUGAAGUCACCUGGGUGUAAUUUGAGCAGGCGGUUCUAGAAGGUGAUUUUAAUUUAGUAAUUGGACCCCAAUUAUAUCAUCUUUUCUGCGGAGAAGCAGUUGAGUGCAGAGAAGAUGGCUUGGUCUGAGAAAACAGGAGCUGGGCUUGGGGACAGGAUACAGGGGCACCUGUGCCCGCCACCGAGGGGUGUCCUGGGCCAUGAUUCUUCGCCCACAGCCCCACCUAUAGCACGUAUAUGAAAUUUUGCUUAAGCUCCUCCAUAUUUCCAUUUGUUUUUAUUCUCUGCUCACUAAGUGGCAUUUUCUUUGUGAGCUACUCUGCUGAUGAGAAGGUGGUACCCUGGAUGGGGAACUAAUCACUGUAGAUCCGGAAAGAGAAUCUCACAAAGUAGGCGGAGGAAGGGGCAGGCUGAUUGGAUCCAUGACCUUCAACCUUGGUUAGUCUGAGAGAGGCUUCCCAGGACUGGUGGCGACGGCAGAACACGGACAAGACCACAAAAGGCGCCCCCCAGCUCGAGGGAAUCAGAGCAGACUUGAUGCAGAUGUGAGGACGUUGGCUUCCCUGCGGAGGCCCCUCAAAACUGUAUACGGCCUUCCUGUCCCGCAGAAGCAGCUGAUAACACAGAGUGUGAAAAUGGCGCAAUGGGUGUCCACCGAAUUUGUAAGACUGAGAGCGCAGAGCUCCACUCACUUGGGGUCACUCUGGGGCCGCCUGGGGGGCCAGGUGCUCGUCCUCCCGAGCAGCUGACAUGCAGGUCCAACCAAGAAGCGAACCUAGACUCACCUUUUCUGUCCUGCCAGCCUGACACUCGCUUCGGCCGUCCCGGUGCUUAGAAU